rnacentral:rRNA from 1 species
CCUACGGGAGGCAGCAGUAAGGAAUAUUGGUCAAUGGCCGUAAGGCUGAACCAGCCAAGCCGCGUGAGGGAAGACGGCCCUAUGGGUUGUAAACCUCUUUUGUCGGAGAACAAAACCCGGGACGUGUCCCGGACUGCGUGUAUCCGAAGAAAAAGCAUCGGCUAACUCCGUGCCAGCAGCCGCGGUAAUACGGAGGAUGCGAGCGUUAUCCGGAUUUCUUGGGUUUAAAGGGUGCGUAGGCGGUCCGUUAAGUCAGCGGUAAAAUUGCGGGGCUCAACCCUUUCGGGCCGUUGAAACUGGCAGACUUGAGUUGGCGAGAAGUACGCGGAAGGCGCGGUGUAGCGGUGAAAUGCAGAGAGAUCGCGCAGAACUCCGAUUGCGAAGGCAGCGUACCGGCGCCAGACUGACGCUGAGGCACGAAAGCGUGGGGAUCGAACAGGAUUAGAUACCCGAGUAGUC